rnacentral:sRNA from 1 species
UUUUUUUUUGAAUAUUUGGAAGUUCGGGCCCAAAGACCCUAUGUUUCUCAGAGACGGAACCCAUAGUAGAUUAAAUUCAUCUCUUUUAUAGAGAGAUUCCUUCCAACGUGAAACCAUUCCUGAAUUGCUUAGAAUCUUUUCUAAAUUUUGUAAACUCUUUUCUAAAUUUCAGUUUUUUUGGCAGGAAAAUUUGAGAGUAGUUUUCUACGGAAAACUUUUGGUGUUACCAGAAAUGUUUUUGCGAAAAACUUUUAACGAAAAAAUUUUGGGCAAGAAAAUAUUGUCAGGAAUUUUUGGUGAUAAAUUUACGUA